UGGCCCAGAUCGUUUACCGUGAAAAAAUUAGAGUGUUCAAAGCAGGCAGAUCCAAUUUUCUGCCACCGAAUACAUUAGCAUGGGAUAAUGGAAUAGGACCCUGUCCUCCUAUUUUCAGUUGGUUUUGGCAGCGCGAGGACUAGGGUAAUGAUUAAUAGGGAUAGUUGGGGGCAUUAAUAUUUAAUUGUCAGAGGUGAAAUUCUUGGAUUUAUGAAAGAUUAACUUCUGCGAAAGCAUCUGCCAAGGAUGUUUUCAUUAAUCAAGAACGAAAGUUAGGGGAUCGAAGACGAUCAGAUACCGUCGUAGUCUUAACCAUAAACGAUGCCGACCAGCGAUUAGGAGACGUUGAAUACAAAACACCACCAUCGGCGCGGUCGUCCUUGGCGUCGGUCCUUCACGGGGCCGGCGCGAGGGCGGCUAGCCCU
rnacentral:rRNA from 1 species